AAAAAAAACGGCUGUUCCAUCAAUUACUGAUAGCCCCCAAAUCGCCGCGCUUUUUGGAGGUCACGUGUACAACGCCGGGGGCUCGAUCGCCAUCACCACCAUCAGAGAAAAAGAAAGAAACGCCAUUUUGCAAGCGGUGUGCGUAUGUUGUGGUCGUGUAUUCAACUUUUGUUCCACCAUGGGGAAGUACGCAAGCUACACGGCUGGAUUUAAACUGAAGGCAGUGCAGUACGCGCUGGAGCAUGGCAACCGGGCUGCAAGCAGGCAUUUCGGUGUUGGAGAAACCAGUAUUCGGUACUGGAGGGAUCUAGAAGAAAAACUUAAGGCGACGAAGAAGACAUGACGGGCUUUCCGCGGUGCCAAGACCGGCAGUUAUCCGAACGUCGAAGAGCAACUGGUCCGGCAUAUACGGGAGCUAUGACAAGACGGCUGUGCUGUGUCAUUGGAUAUUGUGCAGACUGAGGCGCGCAGAAUAGCCCGAGCGCAGGGCAUCGAAGCAAAAGAGUUCAAAGCCAGCUCCGGAUGGACAACUUGUUUUAUGCGGUGCCAUGGCCUCGCACUGCGAAGGCGGACCACCUUGUGCCAGCGCUUGCCCGCAGCAUAUGAGGACAAAGUGGUGGACUUCCACCGUUUCGCAGGGUAUGUUUGUUUUAUGCUGAAUUAAUUGGUAAACGAUAAAGUCGCCUUUUACUUGACAAA